GUCGAACGUCGUGACUGGCGUGCAGAUGGGACACCAUCGGGAAACGACACCCCCUCUCGGAACGGCCGCUCGCCUGGGUCGAAAAA
rnacentral:ncRNA from 2 species